UAUUAUAUUUCCACCUACACAAAUUUUUGUUUAUGGUCAGUUAUUGACACCUAAACAAAAAUGACAUGAACCUUUGAAUUUUAGUAGAGACCAAAGAAACUUGAAUAAGAAAACUGGAGGUGACAUGUUGCAGGUCCCGGAAAAAAAACUUCACCACUUUUUUUUCUCUGGAUGUGAUGAAUCUUCAACUUUUGGUCCACCUGUGUUUUUUUGCAUGUGGCCACGGAGAUAAUAUAUGAUUUGCUAAUAUGGGUCGAUGUCUUGUCAGCAAAUCUCCUCUCAUCCAUAAAGCAUUUGUUUUUUGAGUAGAUGUCCAUAAAACAUUUAAGUGGAUGAGAAGAGAUUAGAUUCCCUCCUCUUUCUUUUCACCUUCCCCUUGUUUGCUUUUACCCCCUUCUAAUUUCUCUCUCCCUCGGUUAAUCUCAUCCACCUAAAUUCACUCCCGAACUAUCAUCUUAUGUGGCAGAUAAGCAUGGAGAAUAUAGCCAUAACCUGUUCUAGUGGUUAUCUUCUCCAGUGGCCCAUUAUCUCAUUAUGGAAACUGUUGACCAUUCGUGCAGUAAUAUGUAUGUUGGCACUACUUACCUUGUUGCCUUAUAUUGGACUCUGCAUAGAUUUCCAUCACACCCGCAACAUGGAUUAAUAAUACCUUACGUAGUUUGCAUGCGGACAUCUCUUCGUUCAUUCUUUACAACCUGCAUUAAGAUACAUCCGAGGCUGAAACAGUAUCGUAAUAAAGAGUAACACAAAAAAUUAAUAACAUGUUGUGCAGGUGCCCGUUGCUUCCUUGGUGGGUAAAACAAUUGGACUCUACUUCUCCGCCCAGUGGGGUGUUCCAUGUGUGAAGUUCACUCCCAAGCUUGUGUCUGUCUACCAGAAGAUUAAGCAAACGAUGAUAGAAAAUGCAGACGAAGACUUUGAGAUAGUUUUCGUGUCAAUGGAUCGCGAGCAAGCAGAAUUUCAGUCCUAUAUUAGUGUCAUGCCUUGGCUAGCAUUGCCAUUUGGAGACCCGAGCAUCAAAGACCUCGCUAAGCAUUUUGAUGUAAAAUGUAUCCCUUGCUUGAUCAUUUUAGGCCCUGAUGGCAAAACUGUCACCAAACAAGGGAGAAACCUUAUAAAUCUGUACCAAGAAAAGGCAUACCCUUUUACUAAGGCCAAAGUGGAAUUGCUCGAGAAGCAAAUGGAGGAAGAAGCAAAGAACCUACCAGUGUCGGUUCAGCAUGAAGGACACCGGCAUGAGCUGGGUUUGGUGUCUGAGGGAACAGGAGGUGGUCCCUUCAUAUGCUGCAAUUGCGAUGAGCAAGGUUCGGGUUGGGCUUACCAAUGUCUGGAAUGUGGGUAUGAGGUGCACCCCAAGUGCGUGAGAUCUGUGAGCGGUGGCUCCUUGGUUGGAAGGUGACCGAACCUCCAUGGUUUGCUAAUGUUGCUAAUUAAUUCAGAUUCCGUUUCCAUAUUGUAAUGUGUUUAUUCCGCAAGAAAGGUGUUGGUUGUUGUUUUCAUCUGUUCACUUAACGGAUGGGAAAUUCAAAAUUUCCCUGUUGGGACAUGUUAUGUGCUUCAAAUUUCUCCUGUGUAACAAAGAUAUAAGAACAGAAUUUACCUGAUUGCAAGCGAGAAAAUUAGGCAACUGCUGGAAUCCCGUGCUGUGGGUUUCUUCUUCAGGCGCCAAUAAGUAGGUUUUGGAGAUCGAUUAGCACCAUCCAUCACUCGGCA
rnacentral:lncRNA from 1 species